CUCUGGGCACGAUCUGAGGCUCAGGGCGGAAAGAG
rnacentral:ncRNA from 1 species